ACUCAUACGGGAGGCAGCAGUGGGGAAUAUUGGACAAUGGGCGCAAGCCUGAUCCAGCAAUACCGCGUGUGUGAAGAAGGCCUGAGGGUUGUAAAGCACUUUUAAUAGGGAGGAACACCUGUAGGCUAAUACCCUGCAGUAUGACAUUACCUAUAGAAAAAGCACCGGCUAACUCCGUGCCAGCAGCCGGGGUAAU
rnacentral:rRNA from 1 species